UUAUUUUUAUGUGCAUUUGGGGGAAAGUUUAGAAGGCUUACACGUAAAUCUAAAUAACACAGGCUACAGUAUACUCAGUAUUUUCUAUUUUAUGGCUGUAUGUCUGCCUGUCUCUAUCUCACACACGCAUACACACACAAGGGCAAAUUGAAUCACUGCGUAAUUUGAAAGCAUUACUGUCCCCGGGGUUAGCCUUGCGCACGGUUCACUAAUUUAGCCAAUUAAAAGUGGAAGGAUAUGGGCUUGUGUGUUUCCAUGUCGAAAUAUAUGAGCUGCUAUAGGCUAAUAUUCCCGUCCUGGUUUGUUUAUAUGUGGAGGCAAAGGGUUAAAACUCGGGGCUUCGGUCUUGCGAGGCUUCUGAUUGGCUGGCAGGUUGCCAGAGUGCUGUCAAUCAUCGAGUGUAAACAAGGCUCUGAUUGGCUGCUGGCCAGUCCGCACUGGGCUGUCUGAAAAAAGCAAUUACUGCCCCUGCGGUUUCAAGGCGGCCCAGCGUUGAACGAUGAAAGGAGAUAAGGAGGGGCGGUUUCAAGGCGCCCCCCACGGCGAAUCCCGUUGGCGUCAGAGCAAAAGGAGAGUCAAGAGUGACUAAAUCAAAGGGAAUACGGUAAAAGGGGGGAAAUUACACGUUGUAUUAAAUGUAGAGGCUAGAUUCGCAGAAUGGUGCAAUAACAACUUUGUGUUUAGAAAAUGGAGGAGAGAACAGCAACAAGAACCGGAAAACAGCUAUUGCGCUGCUUCGAGGGAGCUCCUUUUUUUUACAAAACACGAAGGGAAAAAAGUUUUUGUCAACAAAAGGAGUCAGUGGAAAGAGCAAUAGGUCUGUUAAGAAACAAAAUCAAAAACACUGACGAUAUUGGGUCGUCAGGAUUUGGCUCUUAUUGUGCUGCUGCGCCUAAAAUGUUGACUAAAACUUUUUGCCAACUGUUCAAUAAUUAAGUGGACAUUUCCGCAGAAGCUUAAAUGACCGGUGUGCGAGACUCUUCCUCCGCGGCGAGGAGCCACACAUCCCGACCGCUUUUUCUGGUCGUCCAGCCCAGCCAGCCGAAGCAGCUUCUCCCCUGCUCUGGAGAUGUGGCGUCAUGUGUGCACGAGUGCACAAUUGAAUGAACCGAAAAUACAAUAAAUAAAUCAACAAAUAAA